rnacentral:rRNA from 1 species
UGAACGCUGGCGGCGUGCCUAAUACAUGCAAGUCGAACGCACAGCGAAAGGUGCUUGCACCUUUCAAGUGAGUGGCGAACGGGUGAGUAACACGUGGACAACCUGCCUCAAGGCUGGGGAUAACAUUUGGAAACAGAUGCUAAUACCGAAUAAAACUUAGUGUCGCAUGACACAAAGUUAAAAGGCGCUUCGGCGUCACCUAGAGAUGGAUCCGCGGUGCAUUAGUUAGUUGGUGGGGUAAAGGCCUACCAAGACAAUGAUGCAUAGCCGAGUUGAGAGACUGAUCGGCCACAUUGGGACUGAGACACGGCCCAAACUCCUACGGGAGGCUGCAGUAGGGAAUCUUCCACAAUGGGCGAAAGCCUGAUGGAGCAACGCCGCGUGUGUGAUGAAGGCUUUCGGGUCGUAAAGCACUGUUGUAUGGGAAGAACAGCUAGAAUAGGAAAUGAUUUUAGUUUGACGGUACCAUACCAGAAAGGGACGGCUAAAUACGUG